UUCCGCUGGACGAGGUACACGUACCUCAUCCAUCGGAAGGAAACCCUUCCGCUGGACGAGGUACAUGUACCUCGUCCAGCGGAA
rnacentral:miRNA from 1 species